rnacentral:rRNA from 1 species
GAUGAACGCUGGCGGCGUGCCUAAUACAUGCAAGUAGAACGCUGAAGCUUGGUGCUUGCACCGAGCGGAUGAGUUGCAAACGGGUGAGUAACGCGUAGGUAACCUGCCUCUUAGCGGGGGAUAACUAUUGGAAACGAUAGCUAAUACCGCAUAAAAGUUGACAUUGCAUGAUGUUGAUUUGAAAGAUGCAAUUGCAUCACUAAGAGAUGGACCUGCGUUGUAUUAGCUAGUUGGUGAAGUAACGGCUCACCAAGGCGACGAUACAUAGCCGACCUGAGAGGGUGAUCGGCCACACUGGGACUGAGACACGGCCCAGACUCCUACGGGAGGCAGCAGGAGGGAAUCUUCGGCAAUGGACGGAAGGCUGACCGAGCAACGCCGCGUGAGUGAAGAAGGUUUUCGGAUCGUAAAGCUCUGUUGUAAGAGAAGAACGAGUGUGAGAGUGGAAAGUUCACACUGUGACGGUAACUUACCAGAAAGGGACGGCUAACUACGUG